rnacentral:rRNA from 1 species
UCAGUCGACUCCUACGGGGAGGCAGCAGUGGGGAAUAUUGUACAAUGGGGGAAACCCUGAUGCAGCCAUGCCGCGUGUGUGAAGAAGGCCUUCGGGUUGUAAAGCACUUUCAGUAGGGAGGAAGGUAGUGUAGUUAACACCUGCACUAUUUGACGUUACCUACAGAAGAAGCACCGGCUAACUCCGUGCCAGCAGCCGCGGUAAUACGGAGGGUGCGAGCGUUAAUCGGAAUUACUGGGCGUAAAGCGCAUGCAGGCGGCCUGUUAAGUCAGAUGUGAAAGCCCGGGGCUUAACCUCGGAAUUGCAUUUGAAACUGGCAGGCUAGAGUCUUGUAGAGGGGGGUAGGAAUUUCAGGUGUAGCGGUGAAAUGCGUAGAGAUCUGAAGGAAUACCAGUGGCGAAGGCGGCCCCCUGGACAAAGACUGACGCUCAGAUGCGAAAGCGUGGGGAGCAAACAGGAUUAGAUACCCUGGUAG